rnacentral:rRNA from 1 species
CCUACGGGUGGCAGCAGUGAGGAAUAUUGGUCAAUGGGCGAAAGCCUGAACCAGCCAAGUCGCGUGAGGGAGUACUGCCCUAUGGGUUGUAAACCUCUUUUGUCGGGGAGCAAAAGCCGGCCGUGUCCGGCUGUGAGAGUACCCGAAGAAACAGCAUCGGCUAACUCCGUGCCAGCAGCCGCGGUAAUACGUAGGGUGCUAGCGUUAUCCGGAUUUAUUGGGUUUAAAGGGUGCGCCGGCGGAUUUUUAAGUCAGCGGUCAACCCGUGGGGCUCAACCCCAUCCAGCCGUUGAAACUGGCAAACUGGAGUGUGUGAGAGGAUAGUGGAAUUCCAGGUGUAGGAGUGAAAUCCGUAGAUAUCUGGAGGAACAUCAGUGGCGAAGGCGACUAUCUGGAACAUAACUGACGCUGAGGAGCGAAAGCGUGGGUAGCAAACAGGAUUAGAUACCCCAGUAGUC